GAUGAACGCUGACAGAAUGCUUAACACAUGCAAGUCGAUGGGGAAGUGGUGCUUGCACCAUGGCAACCAUGGCGGACGGGUGAGUAACGCGUAAGGGACUUACCUGCAGGACUGGGAUAACAGGGGGAAACUCCUGACAAGACCUGAUAAUGUCAUGGAGCUGCAUGGCUUUAUGAUGAAAGGAGACGCCUGCGGAGAGCCUUGCGUCCUAUUAGCUAGUUGGUGAGGUAAUGGCUCACCAAGGCGAAGAUAGGUAGCCGGCCUGAGAGGGUGGACGGCCACAAGGGGACUGAGAUACGGCCCUUACUCCUACGGGAGGCAGCAGUGGGGAAUAUUGGACAAUGGGGGCAACCCUGAUCCAGCAAUUCUGUGUGCACGAAGAAGGUUUUCGGAUUGUAAAGUGCUUUCAGAAGGGAAGAAGUAAGUGACGGUACCUGCAGAAGAAGCGACGGCUAAAUACGUG
rnacentral:rRNA from 1 species